CUGCUAUGAAUAUUUGUGUGUGAGCCUUUCAUUUCUCUUGGAUACCUUGGACUGGAAAGUGGAAAAGCUGCCAACCUGGAAACACCACUGGACACAGAACGACAACAAGAGUCUAAGAAAAGUUUUCCCUCUAGCCACAAGACUAGGAAAGGGGCAACCCUGACAAACCAAACACUUUUAGAUAAUUGACACUCUACUCUCACCACACAUUACAGAAAAAAAGUAGAGGCCCCAUCCAUACCCCCACCAGCAAAUAUAGAAUGCAGAGCACAGGUUUCCACACUUGCAUCUCAACCCUUCCUCCCCUACCAGAGUGCUGUCAGAGAGGGCCUACAGGAAGCCAGCCCUCCCCUCCCAUCAGUGUCACUGGAGACCACACAGGGAGCCUAGACUUCCAUCUUCACUCAGCUAGUGUUGAUAAGGCAACCCUCCGCCUCCCUGCUGGGGUGGUGGCAGAAGCAGCCUGGAUGAGAAUCAGAACUUUCACCAUUGCUCAGUGGCAUUGAAGGCCACCACAUACGGCUUUAGUGGAUGCCACAUGAGCAGUGACAAGAUGCCCCACUCCUUCACAGGCAGUGGCACACGAGUGUAGGCCUUGUGGGAGCUGGCACUCUCACUAAUACCCCACAGUAAAGAGGAGCUACCCCCUCAGGUGUCAAUGGAGGUCAAGCAGUAAACCUGGGCAUUUACCCACUUGCCAGUAAAAACGUACCCACUGGAACUUCUCCUUCCCCUGCCAGAGCAAUGUCAAAGAAAGCUAGUUAAAACAGAAAGUUUAAAUAAGAUCCAGAGUCUCCUAAUAUAAUCACCAAAAUGUCUAUCAAUUUUAAAUGUAUAUAUUAUACAAAGAACAAGGAAUACUUCAACAGCAAAAUGAAGAGGAGAGGGGAAAGAAUCAGUGAACUUGAGAACAGAACAAGAGAAAUACCCAAACUGAACAAUAGAGAGAAAAUAGAUUUCAAAUAAAUAAAUGAAUCUUCAAAGACAUGAGUAUAGGGAAAAAACACAAUACCAUCAAACAAUAGAAAGUAAAAAAUAAAAAAAAAAAAUUGAAAGCAGCCAAAGAGAAAUGAUGCAUUAUAUUUAGGAAAAAACAAUUAGAAUGACAGCAAAUGUCAUGUCAGAAACCAUGGAGAUGAGGGGAAAGUGAUACAACAUGUUUCUAGCACAGACAAAAGAAUUGUCAGUCCAGAAUUCUGUAUCCAGUGAAAAUAUUCUUCUGAGUGAAGGGAAAAUCAUUCUCAUAUGAAGAAAAAUUAAGAGAAUUUGUUGUUAACAGAAGUUUUGAAAACAGAAGGAAAAUGAUAAAUGAGGAAUGUAGGAAAUCGACGAAGAAUAAAAAAAUAAAAAUACAAAUAUGAGUAAAUACA